CCCUUCGAUGUUCUGGGCUGCACGCGCGCUACACUGAUAAAGUCAACGAGUUUACAACCUCUUCCGAAAGGAACGGGUAAUCUUUUGAAACUUUAUCGUGAUGGGGAUAGAUGAUUGCAAUUAUUCGUCUUGAACGAGGAAUGCCUCGUAAGCGCAGUUCAUCAGACUGCGUUGAUUACGUCCCUGCCCUUUGUACACACCGCCCGCCGCUCCUACCGAUUGGAUGGUCCGGUGAAGUCUUCGGAUCGUGGGUUGUCUCACUGCUGGUUCGCUAGUAGUGGCUCCCGUGAAAAGUUGCCUAAACCUUAUCAUCUAGAGGAAGGAGAAGUCGUAACA
rnacentral:rRNA from 1 species